CCCUUAGAUGUCCUGGGCCGCACGCGCGCUACACUGAUGCAUGCAACGAGUUUAUAACCUUGGCCUGAAGGGUCUGGGUAAUCUUUUGAACGUGCAUCGUGAUAGGGAUAGAUUAUUGCAAUUGUUAAUCUUGAACGAGGAAUUCCUAGUAAACGCGAGUCAUCAGCUCGCAUUGAUUACGUCCCUGCCCUUUGUACACACCGCCCGUCGCACCUACCGAUUGAAUGGUUCGGUGAAGAUCUCGGACUUCGAUAUUUAUUCUUUAUUGAGUUUAUAUUGUGGGAAGUUAUCUAAACCUCAUCAUUUAGAGGAAGGUGAAGUCGUAACA
rnacentral:rRNA from 1 species